rnacentral:lncRNA from 1 species
AUCAGGCCAGAAUGAUGAAAACAUUUGUAUAUGUGCUACCCUUUUAUUUUCUUUGGCAUGCUCUAAAUAACCUCUGACCUUUUCUUUCCCCAUGUAAAGCUGCUCUUUGUUUGAAUGGAAACAGAAUGUGAAAAUGAUGACAAGAGAUUUUUGAAACAAACACAACAGCAAAAACCAAAAGCAAAUGAACUUUCACAGAAAUUUAGUACCCUAUCAAACUCUGAUACGUGGAUGAAAAGAUCAAGUUCCAGGAUUAGAAGAGAUUUUGUACAAAGGAAGGUGAGGACAGGAAAACUUACUGCUGAGCUCUUUUCAAUGGUUCAGCAAACUAAGUUUCCCUGCUGUUUCAAGACUACUGUGGCAUGCCCAGGUAUGGGAUGAAGGUACCAUGGAAACUCAUGGAAAGUGCAACAAGUUGGUUCAAGGCAAGAUGCUGAAGUUUAGAAUAUUGGCAUCUCCAAAACAGCCCUUUCCUUUGUCUGUCACAUUUGCUUUGGUGGUUGGGGUGGAUGCACUGCUCUAUCUUCGAGGUCAGCUCAUCUUACUCACUGGGGAACCUGUCUUUCCCUCUUGGUGCAAUCCUUUUUACAUGAACUUGAGUUCAGGGGGGGUAAGAAUGGCAAUUACCAGCAGACCAAGGGAGCUGCAGCAUUAAGACAAAGCAGUUUUCUCCAGAGCUGUUUGUGCCAAACACAUGUCAAGGACAGAAACAAUAUUCAUUCCAAUGCAAUCAGUGCAAACAGCUUUAGAAGAAGGAGAGUUUAAGUGUUCACAACUGGUUUGAGUUGCAGGACAACAUCCUACAGUAAGCAAGAGGUUGGUGGCAUUUUCCUGUGGUUAAAGCACACAGAAGCACCUUCUCCAGUGUUGAGCAUGGAGAAGGCCACACAAUCUCCCAUAUGAGGUGCAGGGUCCCCUUCUCCCUCCACCUGCACACACCCUCAAGUCUACCCAAAACCUUUGCUUUCUCAUUUCUCUCCUAGGAAGUUGCCCCUUACACCAAACAGCAAUUUUGAAGAGCACCUGAAUUAACAGGAUUGUUCCAGCUCCUAUUUCUCGUUCAAGUGUAAUGUGAGAUUAGCCAGACUCAUUAAAAUAUUAUCAGUUUCCUUGCUUUGUGAUACAGCUCCUUGCAGGCAAGCCUUGGGACACAUUAGGGUCCUUGUCAGGUGAUGGCUGGUGGGUUUCUGCAGUUGGUGAAUAUAAUCAGAUUUCAUUGAUGUCUGAAUCAUCAUAAAUUUUAACAGCCUUGAUGUUGUUUCAAACACCCUAUGUGCUAGUGCAGUCUGUCUACAGUUAAUAUCCCAACAUCAAGAGGUCAGAAUCACCUCAUCUCAGUUAUUCUGAUGUGUUUUUUUUUUUUUUUGUCUUUUUUUUUUUU